rnacentral:snRNA from 1 species
UUUAAAUUUAUAAUGACCAUUUU